rnacentral:rRNA from 1 species
UACGGAGGGGGCUAGCGUUGUUCGGAAUUACUGGGCGUAAAGCGCCCGUAGGCGGCUUUGUCAGUUAGAGGUGAAAGCCCGGGGCUCAACCCCGGAAUUGCCUUUAAGACUGCAUCGCUAGAAUUGUGGAGAGGUAAGUGGAAUUCCGAGUGUAGAGGUGAAAUUCGUAGAUAUUCGGAAGAACACCAGUGGCGAAGGCGACUUACUGGACACAUAUUGACGCUGAGGUGCGAAAGCGUGGGGAGCAAACAGG